GAUGAACGCUGGCGGCGUGCCUAAUACAUGCAAGUCGAGCGAACAGACGCGGAGCUUGCUCCUCUGACGUUAGCGGCGGACGGGUGAGUAACACGUGGAUAACCUACCUAUAAGACUGGGAUAACUUCGGGAAACCGGAGCUAAUACCGGAUAAUAUAUUGAACCGCAUGGUUCAAUAGUGAAAGACGGUUUUGCUGUCACUUAUAGAUGGAUCCGCGCCGCAUUAGCUAGUUGGUAAGGUAACGGCUUACCAAGGCAACGAUGCGUAGCCGACCUGAGAGGGUGAUCGGCCACACUGGAACUGAGACACGGUCCAGACUCCUACGGGAGGCAGCAGUAGGGAAUCUUCCGCAAUGGGCGAAAGCCUGACGGAGCAACGCCGCGUGAGUGAUGAAGGUCUUCGGAUCGUAAAACUCUGUUAUUAGGGAAGAACAAAUGUGUAAGUAACUAUGCACGUCUUGACGGUACCUAAUCAGAAAGCCACGGCUAACUACGUA
rnacentral:rRNA from 1 species